rnacentral:rRNA from 1 species
UACGUAGGGGGCAAGCGUUGUCCGGAUUUAUUGGGCGUAAAGAGCGUGUAGGCGGCUUUACAGGUCCGUUGUGAAAACUCGAGGCUCAACCUCGAGACGCCGGUGGAAACCGUAAAGCUAGAGUCCGGAAGAGGAGAGUGGAAUUCCUGGUGUAGCGGUGAGAUGCGCAGAUAUCAGGAAGAACACCCGUGGCGAAGGCGGCUCUCUGGGACGGUACUGACGCUGAGACGCGAAAGCGUGGGGAGCGAACAGG